AAAAGUACCUUUAUCGUAAAUCUCCAUUUGAGUAAGCACUAAGAAUCACUUCAGGGUGCUAAUUAAUUUCAAAUGAUAUGCAAAGGGAAAUUGUAUGAAGCUGAAUAUCCAGCAACAAUAUUGUGUGGGAAUGGACAGGGAUCGCAACCAAUGCCGACAACCUCGACGGAAAAAUGGGCCUCAGCUCCCGAAAAUCUCCAUAUUUCAGGAGCUCUGUUUUCAAACCGUCAUAAAUUCGUGCUUUUCCUUUACUGUGCGUGUGUGUGAGCUCCUUGUCUCUAUUGUUGGAGAAGUGUUUUUGGAAGUAUUUUGUUAUUUUGGGAAAAUGGGUUAGACGAUGAUGGGUGUCCUUUGUUAACAACAAAAAAAGGACGAUAGUCACUUUUAUUUGGAAAAUACGGCUGUCC
rnacentral:lncRNA from 1 species